CCUACGGGUGGCUGCAGUGAGGAAUAUUGGUCAAUGGCCGAGAGUCUGAACCAGCCAAGUCGCGUGAAGGAUGACUGCCCUAUGGGUUGUAAACUUCUUUUAUAUGGGAAUAAAAUGUUCCACGUGUGGGUUUUUGUAUGUACCAUAUGAAUAAGGAUCGGCUAACUCCGUGCCAGCAGCCGCGGUAAUACGGAGGAUCCGAGCGUUAUCCGGAUUUAUUGGGUUUAAAGGGAGCGUAGGUUGAUUGUUAAGUCAGUUGUGAAAGUUUGCGGCUCAACCGUAAAAUUGCAGUUGAAACUGGAAGUCUUGAGGAUAGUUGAGGUAGGAGGAAUGCGUGGUGUAGCGGUGAAAUGCAUAGAUAACACGAAGAACUCCGAUUGAGAAGGGAGUUUAAUGAACUGCAACUGACACUGAGGCACGAAAGUGGGGGGAUCAAACAGGAUUAGAGACCCUAGUAGUC
rnacentral:rRNA from 1 species